AUAUCAGUCAUGCAUAGCAUAUCAAUAAGCGGAGGAAAAGAAACUAACAAGGAUUCCCUUAGUAACGGCGAGUGAAGCGGGAAGAGCUCAAAUUUGAAAUCUUCAAGGUUUUACCUUGACGAAUUGUAGUUUAAAGAAGUGUUUUCUGUUGAAGUUUUGGUAAAAGUUCUUUGGAAUAGGACAUCAUAGAGGGUGAGAAUCCCGUAUUUGACCAUUACUUUCAGCUUUGUGAUACACUUUCAAAGAGUCGGAUUGUUUGGGAAUGCAGUCCAAAAUGGGUGGUAAAUUUCAUCUAAAGCUAAAUAUUGGCGAGAGACCGAUAGCGAACAAGUACCGUGAGGGAAAGAUGAAAGGAACUUUGAAAAGAGAGUUAAACAGUACGUGAAAUUGUCAAAAGGGAAGCGUUUGACACCAGUGUUGUUUUCUCGAAAAUCAAUUAAAAAGAGUUGGAUUUUGUGUUGUAUUGACUUUAUCAGCUUUCUUCACUCUUUUCCAGCUUUUUUUAAUGCACUUUUCGUUUAACAAGUCAACAUCAGUUUCUUUUGUUGUAAAAAGGUCAUUGGAAGGUGGCUUUCUCUCUCGGAGAAAGUGUUUAUAGCCUUUGACUCAUGCAAUCGGAGAGACUGAGGUCUGCAGCGUAGAUCCUUCGGGGUUAGAUACAUUUGUGCUAAGUUAUAGCUUUUCAUAUGACAACUUGUUGACUAUGUUUAGUCUUGUAGCUUACUCGCUUAUGCUAUUUUACCUACGCUUAGGAUGUUGAACUCUAUCACACACA
rnacentral:rRNA from 1 species